GACGAACGCUGGCGGCGUGCUUAACACAUGCAAGUCGAACGGAAAGGCCCUGCUUUUGUGGGGUGCUCGAGUGGCGAACGGGUGAGUAACACGUGAGUAACCUGCCCUUGACUUUGGGAUAACUUCAGGAAACUGGGGCUAAUACCGGAUAGGAGCUCCUGCUGCAUGGUGGGGGUUGGAAAGUUUCGGCGGUUGGGGAUGGACUCGCGGCUUAUCAGCUUGUUGGUGGGGUAGUGGCUUACCAAGGCUUUGACGGGUAGCCGGCCUGAGAGGGUGACCGGCCACAUUGGGACUGAGAUACGGCCCAGACUCCUACGGGAGGCAGCAGCGGGGAAUAUUGCACAAUGGGCGGAAGCCUGAUGCAGCAACGCCGCGUGCGGGAUGACGGCCUUCGGGUUGUAAACCGCUUUCGCCUGUGACGAAGCGUGAGUGACAGUAAUGGGUAAAGAAGCACCGGCUAACUACGUG
rnacentral:rRNA from 1 species